rnacentral:rRNA from 1 species
GACGAACGCUGGCGGCGUGCCUAAUACAUGCAAGUCGAGCGGAUUGAUGGGAGCUUGCUCCCUGAUAUCAGCGGCGGACGGGUGAGUAACACGUGGGCAACCUGCCUAUAAGACUGGGAUAACUUCGGGAAACCGGAGCUAAUACCGGAUAAUCCCUUUCCUCUCAUGAGGAAAGGCUGAAAGAUGGUUUACGCUAUCACUUAUAGAUGGGCCCGCGGCGCAUUAGCUAGUUGGUGAGGUAACGGCUCACCAAGGCAACGAUGCGUAGCCGACCUGAGAGGGUGAUCGGCCACACUGGGACUGAGACACGGCCCAGACUCCUACGGGAGGCAGCAGUAGGGAAUCUUCCGCAAUGGACGAAAGUCUGACGGAGCAACGCCGCGUGAGUGAUGAAGGUUUUCGGAUCGUAAAACUCUGUUGUUAGGGAAGAACAAGUACGAGAGUAACUGCUCGUACCUUGACGGUACCUAACCAGAAAGCCACGGCUAACUACGUGCCAGCCGCCGCAGUAACAC